CUUACGGAGCAACGACCCAUGUUUGAAUUCGAACAUUUGUGCAAUCUUUUUCAUCUUUACCUGUCAUUUUCCUCUGCAUAAGGCUAUUUACCUGGCAAAAAGCUUUGGCUAGGGUUACAAAUUUCAUGAUGUUUAUUUUUGUCUCGUUUUACGCAUUCUUCUUGCUAUUUACUUGCCAAAAAUCUUUGGCUAGGGUUACAAAUUUGCUAGUUACUUGCCAAAAAUCUUCUUCAUUAAGGAUACCCAAAUUAAAAUUGACUUUCCUAAUUCAUCGUACCCGUAAAAUAGCUAUACCUAGCUAUAUAAGAACUGAAAGGGAAAAUUUCUAUAUGAGAAAAUAUCCAACGAGUGAUUCGGGAAAGAUUCUGACGAGCCCCUCAGUAUUGAGUAAUUAAAUGUUUUAGCAUGGCUGGGGAACAUACUGUAGAUGAAGUAGAGAGAGUGAAUAUGGUAGAGACAGCGGCAAACAAUUCAGAAUCUGUGUGGGAGAAGACACCGUAUCAUUUAAUGGAGGAAAUCUUGGAGUAUCUUCCAUUAGAAUCUGUUUUCCGCUUUCGCAUUGUGUCCAAAGAGUGGAAUUCUCUUUUGUCUUCUGAAAGAUUUCAUGUUCCUCAGCUGGAGAGAUUUGUACUUAGUAAGGGAAUGCAUGCAGUCAAUGUCAGCUUUGCGCGUUCUCUGGGUCAGCUUCCUGCGCACAUUGUGGAUGAUAUAUUACAGAUGUUGUAAGUGGGUUUUCUUCAGACAGAGGGAUGCUUGUAGAAUUCUCUUAGUUCUGCUGAAAUUUUGUGACCCAAUUGUUUCGUAUAUAUAAAGGUCCCAGAUUUGGUGGUUGCAAACUAGAAUCUGAACAUUUAUAUUCAGAAGCUGGCUAUUAGAGGAUGAAAAGUUGAACAAUUGUGAAUGAGUGAUGGGACUGUUUUGCCUCACAAGUUGGUCAACCAUAUAUCAGUGAUUUGACACUUUAUCAUGUAAAAUUGUACAAAUUGUAAUACAAUAUUUUAUAUUUGUUUUAUAAAAUUGUACAAAUAUUAAUAUAAUCAUUUUACAACUGUAUUUUAUAUCA